AUGGAAGACUUGAAGGAGGCAGAUUUGUGUGCUACACUUGUUGUAAAAGGAGAAGAGCACCUGAUUGUUGAAAUUCUAGCAAAGGUACGUGGUUUAUUGGCAGAAUUUCAGAACAUACUUGGAGAGCCACAAGGCUUGCCACCGAUGAGAGGAAUUCAACAUAGAAUUGACUUAAUUCUAGGAGCAAAUCUUCCUAAUCUUCCACACUAUCAAAUGAUCCCAAAGGAGCAUGAUAUAUUGAAGGAGAAAGUGGAGGAAUUGCUGCAAAAGGGGCACAUUCGAGAAAGUAUCAGCCCAUGUGCUAUACCAACCCUGCUCGCUUCUAAGAAAGAUGGAUCUUGGCGCAUGUGUACGGACAGUAGAGCCGUUAACAAGGUCAUCGUAAGGUAUAGAUUCCCUAUUCCCCGUCUGGAUGAUAUGUUGGAUCAGCUUAGUGUAGCAAGAGUGUUCACAAAGCUAGAUCUAAGAGGUGGAUAUCAUCAAAUCCGUAUAAGACCCGGGGAUGAAUGGAAGACCGCCUUCAAGACAAAGGAAGGGUUGUUUGAAUGGCUAGUCAUGCCAUUUGGAAUCUCAAAUGCACCAAGUACCUUUAUGCACUUAAUGAAUCAAGUGCUUAGACCCUUCUUAUCCCACUUUGUUGUGGUCUAUUUCGAUGACAUCUUGAUCUAUAGCAAGGAUGAGGAUGGACACUUUGAUCACAUUCGGAAGGUGCUAGAAGUACUAAGGGAAAAUGAGCUCUACGUCAACUUGAAGAAAUGUGUUUUCCUGCAAACACAACUUUGUUUCCUAGGAUUCGUCAUAACAUGUGACGACAUUCGUGUUGAUGAUUCUAAGGUUGAAGCAAUCCAAGAAUGGCCAACUCCUAAGACCAUUUCUGAGGUAAGAAGCUUUCAUGGCCUUGCAACUUUCUAUAGGCGAUUUGUUAAGAAUUUCAGCACUAUCAUGGCACUAAUUACCGAGUGUUUGAAGAAAGGAAAGUUCCAAUGGGCAGAAGCAACUGAAGCUAGCUUCAAUGAGAUUAAACAAAAGCUAUCACAAGCUCCUGUCUUGGUACUACCUGAUUUCAACAAGACUUUUGAGUUGGACUAUGAUGCAAGUGGAGUAGGCAUUGGAGCUGUCCUAUCUCAAGAAAGGAAGCCCAUUGCUUUCUUUAGUGAGAAGUUAAGUGAAGCUAGACAGAAAUGGAGUACCUAUCAGCAAGAAUUAUACGCCUUUUUCAUAGCGUUGAAAACUUGGGAAGUCUAUUUGUUGCCUAAAGAGUUCAUUGUUUAUAGCGACCAUCAAUCCUUGAAGCAUUUUAGAAAUCAAAAGCAUGUUGACCGCAUGCCAGCAAGAUGGGCAGCAUAUCUGGAGAGGUUUAACUAUCUCAUCGUGCAUAAAUCCGGAAUAACUAACAGAGUGGCCGAUGCUUUGAGUCGUCGUGCAUGCCUCUUGACUUCUUUUGAAGCUGAACUUCCAGGCAUGGAUAAAAUAAAGAAGUUGUAUGAGGGUGAUGAAGACUUUGGCCAUGUUUGGGUAAAGCAUGCAAGGGGCCAACCAUUAGGUGAUGACUAUUUGAUGCAAGAUGGAUAUCUCUUAAAAAAUGAUCGUUUGUGCAUUCCAAGAAGUUCUCUACGUGACAAGCUGGUUAGAGAGCUCCAUUCAAGUGAUCUUGGUGGCCAUGUUGGACGGGACAAGACUAUCGCUAGCCUGUAA
rnacentral:rRNA from 1 species